rnacentral:rRNA from 1 species
GUUAAUCGGAAUUACUGGGCGUAAAUGUGCGCAGGCGGCGUUGCAAGUCGAGUGUGAAAUCCCCGAGCUUAACUUGGGAAUUGCGCUCGAAACUACGAUGCUCGAGUGUGCAGAGGAAGGUGGAAUUCCACGUGAAGCGGUGAAAUGCGUAGAGAUGUGGAGGAACACCGAUGGCGAAGGCAGCCUUCUGGGCCAACACUGACGCUCAUGCACGAAAGCGUGGGGAGCAAACAGGAUUAGAUACCCUGGUAGUCCACGCCCUAAACGAUGAUGACUAGUUGUUGGAUUUAAAUUAGUAACGCAGCUAACGCGUGAAGUCAUCCGCCUGGGGAGUACGGUCGCAAGAUUAAAACUCAAAGGAAUUGACGGGGACCCGCACAAACGGUGGAUGAUGUGGUUUAAUUCGAUGCAACGCGAAAAACCUUACCUACCCUUGACAUGUCAGGAACUCUGCAAUGCAGAGGUGCCCGAAAGGGAACAACACAGGUGCUGCAUGGCUGUCGUCAGCUCGUGUCG